CCCUCCCAAAUCACUCCAAAAAAAACAAUCCCCAAUUCUACACAAGUGUUUCUACACUAACAAAGCAACAGCUCCUUAACGAAUUCCCAACUUUACACGAGCUCGUCUCUCGAGGUUAAAUGUUAUUACUUGGUAAGAUUCCGGACCUCGCCAAGUGUUUUGAAAACCGCAACGCUCGCAAAGGUGGAUAGUGAGAAUAAUAAGUGAAGAGACAGACUUGUCCAAAACGCCCACCACGAAGGUGCAUAGUGGAGAAGAGUAAGUCAAGAGAUAGACUUGUCCAAAAAGAAACGGAAGAGAAAGCGUGGGGAGACGCUCACGAAGGUGCAUAGGAGAAGAGUAAGUCAAGAGACAGACUUGUUCGAAAAGAAACAGAAGAGAAUGCUUGGGGUUACACUCACGAAGGUGCAUAGUGAGAAGAGUAAGUCAAGAGACAGACUUGUUCGAAAAGAAACAAAAGAGAAUGCUUGGGGAGAUAGAGUGUGAGAUAGUUCUCUAAGCUAAGAAAGUUGUAAAAGCUAAGAACUAGCAUCAAAUGAUGGAUGAAACACAAGUAGUUGUUGAGAAGUCAAACACUUGGUGAUAUGAACACAAACGUUCAAUAUGACAAACCCAUGCCAAGUAAAGAGAAAAUGAAAACUGGUGAUUGUUGCGGAAAUCGUCCAGGAUUCCUCGACCAGGACUUGAAAUCGUCGAGGGAAAAAUCGGUUCCGAGGAAUCGUCGAUCCGGACUUGGAAUCGUCGAGAAAAGUUUACCGGGUCCGAGGAUUUGUCGAC
rnacentral:misc_RNA from 1 species